UCCAGACUCCUACGGGAGGCAGCAGUGGGGAAUAUUGCACAAUGGGGGGAACCCUGAUGCAGCGACGCCGCGUGGGUGAAGGAGCGUUUCGGCGCGUAAAGCCCUAUCGGCAGGGAAGAAGGAGGACGGUACCUGACUAAGAAGCCCCGGCUAACUACGUGCCAGCAGCCGCGGUAAUACGUAGGGGGCAAGCGUUAUCCGGAUUUACUGGGUGUAAAGGGGGCGCAGACGGCAGCGCAAGCCAGGAGUGAAAGCCCGGGGCCCAACCCCGGGACUGCUCUUGGAACUGCGCGGCUGGAGUGCAGGAGGGGCAGGCGGAAUUCCUGGUGUAGCGGUGAAAUGCGUAGAUAUCAGGAGGAACACCGGUGGCGAAGGCGGCCUGCUGGACUGCGACUGACGUUGAGGCCCGAAAGCGUGGGGAGCAAACAGGAUUAGAUACCCCUGUAC
rnacentral:rRNA from 1 species